rnacentral:rRNA from 1 species
GAAGGCCUCUGGGCUGUAAACCUCUUUUAUCAAGGAAGAAGAUCUGACGGUACUUGAUGAAUAAGCCACGGCUAAUUCCGUGCCAGCAGCCGCGGUAAUACGGGAGUGGCAAGCGUUAUCCGGAAUUAUUGGGCGUAAAGCGUCCGCAGGCGGCCUGACAAGUCUGCUGUUAAAGCGUGGAGCUUAACUCCAUUUCAGCAGUGGAAACUGUCAGGCUUGAGUGUGGUAGGGGCAGAGGGAAUUCCCGGUGUAGCGGUGAAAUGCGUAGAUAUCGGGAAGAACACCAGUGGCGAAAGCGCUCUGCUGGGCCAUCACUGACGCUCAUGGACGAAAGCCAGGGGAGCGAAAGGGAUUAGAUACCCCUGUAGUCCUGGCCGUAAACGAUGAACACUAGGUGUCGGGGGAAUCGACCCCUCCGGUGUCGUAGCCAACGCGUUAAGUGUUCCGCCUGGGGAGUACGCACGCAAGUGUGAAACUCAAAGGAAUUGACGG